UCGCCUGGCCCUCCGCGGCGGCUCGCCGCUUCCCAACCGCCCGCGUCCGUCCGCGGCCAGGCAGCGGUUGGGGAUGGCGAGCCGCGGGACCGGGGCGGUGACGAGCGCAGCGGCUCCGCCAUUGGGCAAGGAGGCCUGAGGGACGGGGCUGCCCGGCGGGGUGCAGCAGGGACACCGGAAGCGGCAGCCUCGGCAGGGCGAGGGCGAUGGAGGCCAACGUGCCGCCGAAGCGCAAAGAGCCAGCCAAGUCCCUCCGCAUCAAAGUCAUCUCCAUGGGCAACGCCGAAGUGGGGAAAAGCUGCAUUAUAAAGCGCUACUGUGAGAAGAGGUUUGUGUCCAAGUACCUGGCGACAAUCGGAAUUGACUAUGGAGUCACCAAGGUCCAAGUCAGAGACAGAGAAAUCAAAGUUAACAUCUUCGACAUGGCUGGACACCCCUUCUUCUAUGAGGUACGAAACGAAUUUUACAAGGACACGCAAGGUGUGAUACUGGUCUAUGACGUUGGACAGAAAGACUCGUUUGAUGCCCUGGAUUCGUGGCUGGCAGAAAUGAAGCAGGAGCUUGGGUCUCACGGGAACAUGGACAAUAUUGUCUUUGUUGUAUGUGCCAACAAGAUUGACUGCACCAAACACCGCUGUGUCGAUGAAAGUGAGGGGCGUCUGUGGGCUGAAAGCAAGGGCUUCCUGUACUUCGAGACGUCAGCACAAACUGGAGAGGGAAUCAGUGAGAUGUUCCAGACCUUUUACGUGUCCAUAGUGGACCUGUGUGAAAAUGGCGGGAAGCGCCCUACUGCCAAUAACAGUGCUAGUUUCACCAAAGAACAAGCAGACACCAUUCGCAGAAUCCGAAAUAGUAAGGACAGCUGGGACAUGCUGGGAGUCAGACCCGGGGCCUCCAGGGAGGAAGUCAAUAAGGCCUACCGGAAGCUGGCUGUGCUGCUUCACCCGGACAAAUGUGUAGCGCCCGGCAGUGAAGACGCCUUCAAAGCGGUUGUGAAUGCCCGGACAGCCCUCCUGAAAAACGUCAAGUAGACGGCAGAGGAAGCGACGGGCAGCCUCAAGUGCAGACUCCCCUGAGGAUGCCCAGGAGCCGAUCAUGAAGGGUGGAAGCCAUCCAUGUUGGUUCCAGUUCUGUCGUCAGGAGUUGGUUUGGGAAUGGGCAUCUGGCCCCGCCCCUGCAGAAAAGCUUACUCCGUCCUUUUUCUGUGCCAGUCACUGCUGAACUCCGAGGAAGGAUGGGAAAAAAUAAAAGGAAGUAGCGAGUGAUUUCACAGUUACAGAAGUUGCUCUCUGCAGAAUCAGGGAUACGCCGAACCAAUCCCUGAACGUGCCUCAUGUGAGUGUAAGCCCGCCCGUCAUCUGCUGUGGGAAGCCUGAGGACUCUGGAGAGGGAAUCCUAGGGCACGUUACCUCUGGACUCCUGUCUUGGUGGGUGGUACCCUUGCUUCCUCUCCUGAGUCUCUUCCCUGGCCAAACCGUCCUGUGUCCCUCGUGGGUCCUCUGAGAAGAUGUAGUGAGCAGGACAGGUCAUUUGCUCAAAAGAAUCUUUGACAGCUGCAGGAAGAAGAUUCUUGAGACAUUUAAGCUCAGCAUUCAAGACCUUCUGUGAUGUGGCUCUUUGCUCGGCAUUCUUCUGUGUGUGAGUGUGAGAGUGUGUGCAGGUGCAUGUAUGUGUGCAGGUGUGCAUGCACAUGUGUACAUGUGGAGGCCGGAGGGCAGUCUUGGGUGUUAUUCCUCAGAUACCAUCAUCCGCCUUGUUUUGAGAGAAGGACUCUCACUGGACUCCCAGGGAGCCCCAGAGAUCUGCCUGUCUCUGCCUCCCCUUUUCAGACUCCUACUCCCACUUUUUCCGUCCUACCAUUCUAUAUUCCCAGGCAGGCACUGCACUCCCAGACAUGUGUCUGGCCACCCCACAUGCUGGUGGCUGGGGAUAGAAUUGAUGUUCAGAGCGAGUGUUAGUUAUCAAAGCCCGUGCAUGUUUGCACCCCCCACCCCCUACCAGUUCCACUUCAGUCUGUGUAGAGCUGAUGGGUUAUGCCUACCUCUCCAGUUCACGGACACUCUUCCUCAAUGGUUUAGAGACAGCAGUAGAGACUGAAUUGUGACCAGAUCUCAGCAGUAACAUGCAGGCACACACACAUUCUCACACACACGUGCAUACAUACCACUGGGUCGGCAAUAUGUAAACCAGGCUGGUUUGAGCCCUCCAGGCCAGGCUUGGGUGUUGCUCGGCUGUGGCUCAGCUGUCUAGGUUUCCACCUUCCGACUGGGCUGCUUUCCCUGCUCCAGGGUGGGAAGGAUGAGUGGAUUUAUGCAGACAGGGCAGCUAAGGUAAGGGCCCUGCCACCUAGCCGUUACUCCCAAGUCCUCUGCUUGGAUUUUCCCAUGACCCCCAGGUUCAGAACCAUCUUGGUCCCUGCCCAAGCAUAUGGGAUGGUAUGGGUCCCUCAUUCUUCCAGCAAUGGUUGAUGAUGCUGAGCAGGUCAACGGUCUGAGUGCCAGACCUUGGAAUAGAUGCAUGGGUGAAACUCUGGUGUUGUCCUUUACUGGCUGCAAGACUUUGGAUGAAUGAAAAAUCCAGCCUCAGUUUUUCCAUCUGGAAAGUGGCCGUGGUCAGGGCACUUACCACCUAGAAUUGCUGUGGAGAUUAUGUGAGGUAAGAAGACCGGGAACUAACCAAGGAACCGUCUGGAUACUGAAGCCUUUAGAGCGUAACCGUAGGCAGUAUGAAAACUCAGCAUUUUGGAGAGAGGGAAUCAGCCUGAACUAUGCUUCAGGGAAACAAUUCAUAGCAGCUAAAAGGAACUUUGGAGGAAUGUACCAGAUGGAAUGUGCAUGCACAUGAGCGCGCAAGCACACACACUUACAUAUAUAAAUUAAGAUUUAUUAGAUCAGAUCAUAUAAUACAUUCUAAGUAGUCCAACAAUGGUUGUCUCACCCCAGAGGGGCUGAGAACCUGCUGGCUGCCCAGUCCAUGAGGCUGGGCAUCUCACCCACCCUAAUCUGGUCCUGGAGACCUGCAGGAUUCCUGGAGAGCCACCAGUGUGCAGUUAACAUCAGAAGCUUGGAGAGGCUGGGUUCUGAGCCCAGCAAAGGAACACAGCAACAGAAUAGAUAGAUGGAUGGACGUGCCACCAAGGGUGAAGGUAAGGGGCUGGAGAGAUGGCGGCAAGGGACCGGGCUUUGGCCCCUACCACCCACAUGGUGGUUUACAACCAUUUGCAACUCCAGUUCCAGGGUAUCCAACACGGUCUGGUUUCCCUGGCCACCAGGCAUGCUCACAGGUGGUGCACAUGCAUACAUGUGGGCAAAGCACUCAUACACAUAAAAUGAAUCUUUCUUAAAAAAGAAAGAAAACUAAGGCUAGCAGGCAAAAAGCAAGGCUCACUUCUGUCUGUUUACCUGGGCUGCCACCCACAUUAGGGCGACUCUUCCCACUUUAUCUGAUGGAGCAAAUUCUUCCUCACAGGAGUGCCCCGCAGCUUGCCUUCUAGUCGCUUCUGGAUCCAGUCAAGUUGACAACCAAGGUUUGCCAUCACAGAGGCGUCUCACAGUCUCAGGAUCCAUUCAGCUGGUGGCUUUCUGCAGCCUCUUGCUCCCAAGCAACCUUUGUGGAAUAAAGUAUACAUCAUCUGGAUGCCGAUUAAGGACACUAGAGGGGGGGGUGGGGGAGAGCUCUCAGGUGCGUUCCUUCCGCUUUUCUCCUGUCCUGAUGCUUUAUGGGGCUUCUCUCUCAGGAGAUGCCUCUCUGUGCCCAGAUAGGAGUGUUGUGGGCUGAUCACCAGAGAAGACUGCUCGGAUGCGGGUCUAAGCCAACAGAAGGUCUUUAUUCGCCAGCCAGCAACCACGCUGGGUGCUCAGGAUCCCAGUGUAGCCCCGAGCCUUCCCCAGGGGUGUCUCAUUGAACAUGGAGCUCCUUGAUUGGCUAGACUGUCUGGCCAACAAGCCCCGGGAUCCACCUGUCUUCACCUUCCUCUCAGUGUUGGAGUCGUGGACACACGUUACCAUGAGUGGCUUUCAUGCGGUGGCUGGAGAUCCAAGCUCGGGUUCCCAUGUUUGCAUACAGCUAUCUUCCCAACCCUUAAUUAAAAGAAUACUUUUGUGUAUAUGGAUGUGUUCAUAUGAGUGUGUGGUGUGUGUGUGUGUGUGUGUGUGUGUGUGUGUGUGUGUGUGUGUGUGUACAUCUCAGGACAACCUUGGUAUUGAUUCUCAGGCUCUUUCCAUCUUGCUAUGAGAACUUUGCUGAGCAGGCUUGACUAGCUCGCCAUUGAGCUCCAGGGAUGCACCAUCUCGCCCUCUCUGGGAUUGCAAGUUCUCACCACCAUGCCUGGCUUUUUAUUUGGGUUCUGGAACUCUGAACUCAGGUCCCCAAUGCCCCUGAGGCAGGUUUUUACCAGCCUCGCCUCUUAAAGAUUAAAAAAAAAAACAAAACAAUUAUUUAACAAAGCAUUGUUGGGUGUUUAUCAUGGUUGUCACUCCAUGUAUAAAAGAAAAUCAAAAUCUUGUUCCUGGGCUUAGCGUCUUGGAGUGGGGUGAAAACCAUUACAAUUAUAAUAGACUCCAGCAUGUGUGAAUACAGGUGUGAAAAAUGUGCAAGGACCCUGCCUGGAUCUCCGUGGCUGUCAUAACAAGUUAAUGCAAACAGGUUGGCAUUCGAAUGUUUCUUGCCUUCACAUCUCUGGCGGCUAGCAGUCUGAAAUCUGAGUACCAGCAGAACUGUUACUAUCUAAGGCUCUCAAGUGAGUUUGUUUUCUCUGCCAGUUAAAGAAUUAAAAGGCAGGAAAAAUCUUGACGGUAACAGGUAGCGGCAGAGAAAUCUCAGACACCACCAACAGGCACGGACAGAAGCAGCGAUUGAAGGAAGACUUUUAUGGGGGUGAGGAAAUACAUACACGCAGCAGAUCCACAGGGAAGAGACCCCUGUAAAGCAGAGGGGGACCUGGGAAGCCGGAAAAACCAGUGUCUUCUCGAGGGCUGGGGUUUCUAAGGCCUCUGAAGAGUUUUCCUCUCCUAAUUCAGGGUUGGUGAGUUUGAAGAUGGAUGGGUGGUUGAUGGGUAACAUGUCCUGAUGCCAUGGCCUCAAACUUGCUGAGCCAGUCCAUCUGCAGCGGGUCUACUGAUGGGAGAGGAAGCCUGCAAGGCCUUUGUGUUAAGGUCUUUUAUCUUGGGUCAGGAGAGCAGGAAGAAGCUGGCCAUCCGGGAAGUUCACCCCCUUCAUCACCUACCCACGGCCCCUCCCUCUCCCUGUCUGCCUGCCUCCCAGGGAGUCGUCUAAUUCUUAGCCACUCCAAACCUCGUUUCCCGUGGGAGGGCUUGAGGGGAAACAGCCUUCUUGCCCCCCACUCCCGAGUCUGGUGGCUCCUCGAGUCCCUGGCUUAGGGCUCCAUCCCUCCAGUCUUGUCCUCUGUCACACAACCUCCUCCCUUGUAAGGACUUUGGGGCCUUCCCCAGUCAUCCAGGGUGAUCUGAUUUCCACAUCCUUUACUCAAUUACACCUGCAAAGACCCUUUCCUCAAAGUAGUUCAACCCUAAUAGGUUCCUGGGGUUUGGAUGUGGAAAUAUUUGGGGGCGGGUACCAUUCAAACCACUACAUACAUACACCUGUGUUCACACUGCACCUCCACACACAAACAUGUACAUGCAUUCACAUACAAGAUUAAAAAUAUAAAAACGUAAAGUGACUAAGGUACUUGAGGCCAGCGGCCAGGUGAAGGUGACGUGUGAGUGUUCCAUGUAACCCUUAGAACCCGGAUGGUGGAGAAGGCUCCGUCACAGAGCUUGCAAGCAUGGAGCCCUACAUUCAGCCCCUAGACACGGAAAAAAAGCCCGGCAGGGCGGCAUGCAUUUGUAAUCCCUGGGGCUUCUGGCCAGUCAGCUCGCCCACCUGGUGAACCUCAGGCCGGUGAGAAAUCCUACC